CCUCUACUCAGUCAGUCUGGAUUUCUAGCUGUUUGCUCCUGCAUAGAUUUUGUUACCCUGAUGUGCCUGUUUUCCCUAGCCUCGUGCUGCUUUUUCCCUCCGCUACAGUCCCGUCUGCUUUGACUCUGGUACCUGUCUCCAGUCCCUCGUCUUCUCAGUCCUGCUUCUCUGACCUGGAUCGACACCCCACCUUCAUCGCGUGGACUGACCAUUUAAAAACCUGUCCUACAUCCAGACUAGAAAUGUCUGAACUCCCGAUUGUGUUCGCUCUGUUCUUCGAUGGGCCAUUCUACCCAUCUCACCUGUCACCCUGGUAUUAAUCCGGACCCUUGCCUUCCUGCGUCCAGCGCUUUUAGUGGCCCACCAUGGAGAGGGAUGAAUGGAAGUUUGUCUCAGCCUGCUCGUCCUGUCUGCUUUGACUCUGGUACCUGUCUCCAGUCCCUCGUCUCCUCAGUCCUGCUUCUCUGCCCUGGAUCUUCGCUCUACUGCUUCAUUGGAUUCCCCUCCAGAACUGCUUACCCGGUUCCUAAUCUCCUUGCACUCAGCCUCAGUCCAGAUUCCCUACUACCCACCCAAUAUUCCCUUGGACUGCACCCUAUCUCCUCUCCUGAUUUUCAAUAAAAAUAUUGGUUACCUG
ensembl:lncRNA